rnacentral:sRNA from 1 species
GCUGGGAGUUGUGGCGCACACCUGUAAUCCCAGCCACUCAGGAGGCUGGGGCAGGAAGAUCAGGAGUUCAAAGCCAGCCUCAU